UGAUGACGAGACGCUAAGGCGUUGAAGCAGUGUAUGUCAGACUUCCAAGAAAAGCUCCAAUGUCACAAAUAAAAGAUGCCUGUACCAUAACCGACACAGGUGGGUAGGUAGAGUAUACUAAGGGGCGCGAGAUAACUCUCUCUAAGGAACUCGGCAAAAUGACUCCGUAACUUCGGGAGAAGGAGUGCCUUAUUUAUAAGGUUGCAAUAACAAGAUCCAAGCAACUGUUUAUCAAAAACACAGGUCUCCGCUAAGUCGUAAGACGAUGUAUGGGGGCUGACGCCUGCCCAGUGCCAGAAGGUUAAAGAAGUUGGUUAGUGUAUGCGAAGCUGAUGACUGAAGCCCUGGUGAACGGCGGCCGUAACGAUAACGGUCCUAAGGUAGCGAAAUUCCUUGUCGGGUAAGUUCCGACCCGCACGAAAGGCGUAAUGAUUUGGAUACUGUCUCGGAGAGAGGCUCGGUGAAAUAGACUUGUCUGUGAAGACGCGGACUACCUGCACCAGGACAGAAAGACCCUAUGAAGCUUUACUGUAACUUGAAAUUGGAAUUGGACUUUGCUUGCGCAGUAUAGGUGGGAAGCGUUGAAAAUAUUCUUGCGGGAGUAUUGGAGCUAUCAGUGAGAUACCACUCUUGUAAUGUUAGAUUUCUAACUUUGAACCAUAAUCUGGUCAAAGAACAGUUUCAGGUGGGCAGUUUGACUGGGGCGGUCGCCUCCCAAAUGGUAACGGAGGCGUACAAAGGUUUCCUCUGAACGGAUAGAAAUCGUAUCUAGAGUGUAAAGGCAUAAGGAAGCUUGACUGUGAGACCUACAAGUCGAGCAGGGACGAAAGUCGGUCUUAGUGAUCUGACGGUACUGAGUGGAAAGGCCGUCACUCAACGGAUAAAAGUUACUCUAGGAUAACAGGCUGAUCUCCCCCAAGAGUUCACAUCGACGGGGAGGUUUGGCACCUCGAUGUCGGCUCAUCGCAUCCUGGGGCGGUAGUACGUCCCAAGGGUUGGGCUGUUCGCCCAUGAAAGCGGUACGCGAGCUGGGUUCAGAACGUCGUGAGACAGUUCGGUCCAUAUCCGGUGUAGGCGCUAGAAUAUUGAGAGGAGCCUUCUUUAGUACGAGAGGACCGAGAAGGACACACCGCUGGUGUACCAGUUAUCGUGCCAACGGUAAACGCUGGGUAGCUAUGUGUGGAGUGGAUAACCGCUGAAAGCAUCUAAGUGGGAAGCCCACCUCGAGAUGAG
rnacentral:rRNA from 1 species